AGUGAACGCUGGCGGUAGGCCUAACACAUGCAAGUCGAACGGAAGCACAGUAAGAGCUUGCUCUUACGGGUGGCGAGUGGCGGACGGGUGAGGAAUACAUCGGAAUCUACUUUUUCGUGGGGGAUAACGUAGGGAAACUUACGCUAAUACCGCAUACGACCUACGGGUGAAAGCAGGGGAUCUUCGGACCUUGCGCGAUUGAAUGAGCCGAUGUCGGAUUAGCUAGUUGGCGGGGUAAAGGCCCACCAAGGCGACGAUCCGUAGCUGGUCUGAGAGGAUGAUCAGCCACACUGGAACUGAGACACGGUCCAGACUCCUACGGGAGGCAGCAGUGGGGAAUAUUGGACAAUGGGCGCAAGCCUGAUCCAGCCAUACCGCGUGGGUGAAGAAGGCCUUCGGGUUGUAAAGCCCUUUUGUUGGGAAAGAAAAGCAGCAGGUGAAUACCCCGCUGUUCUGACGGUACCCAAAGAAUAAGCACCGGCUAACUUCGUG
rnacentral:rRNA from 1 species